UACGUAGGGCGCGAGCGUUGUCCGGAAUUAUUGGGCGUAAAGAGCUCGUAGGCGGCCUGUUGCGUCCGCUGUGAAAUCCCAGGGCUCAACCCUGGGCGUGCAGUGGAUACGGGCAGGCUGGAGGCAGGCAGGGGAGAACGGAAUUCCCGGUGUAGCGGUGAAAUGCGCAGAUAUCGGGAGGAACACCGGUGGCGAAGCGGUUCUCUGGGCCUGUUCUGGACGCUGAGGAGCAAAGCGUGGGGAGCGAACGGA
rnacentral:rRNA from 1 species